CACUAAGAAGCUAAUCGGACUCUAGCGUCAGCCUUUUAAGCUGAAGACAGGUGACCUCCACCCACCCUUAGUGA
rnacentral:tRNA from 1 species